AGGAAAGUGAACAUACUAGCAAUAAUAAAUUGUGUUAUUAACAACAUAUAUUCAGACGAAGGCCUGUCGAUGAUUACUAACAAAAAUACAAUAUUGUUCUUGAAUACACUGCUGCAUAAACAUCACACUUUAAAUGAACCAUUUAUUCUCGACGCAAUUAAAACAAAAGUUAGAAAUCGUCGUAGUUUUUUAUAUAGCGCAAAAAAUACAAUUCAGUGUAUACCCUAUUAUGUUUUUAAUUACAAACACACCUCAUCAUUUCUAUACGUUAGCUGCACAUAAGUUCUCUGUUUAUAAUACUGAACUUUUUAUAAUGAAACAAAAAAUUUAGC